CACAUCUUGCCACCUCUCUCUUACUCAUUUCCGAACAACAACCAACUGAUCUCUCUCCUCUCUCUCUCUCUCUCUCGUUCUUACAUUCGACAGAAACAAACAACAAGACAUCAUCAUCAAUCUCUUAUCUCCCUUGUUUGUUCUCUAUUUCGACAGAAACAAACAACAAGACAUCAUCAUCAAUCUCUCAUCUCCCUUGUCUGUUCUCUAUCGCUAAACAACAACAACAAGACAAAACUCUCUGCCUCACUCUCGAAUUUGCACUCGAUAUUCUUAGCUCAAUACCCUCUCUCGAUUUCGCUAAUCUCACUCUCUCGAUCUCUCAAUCUUUCGCUCUUGCUCUCGCGGUUCUCUCGAUAUUGUUCAUCAUUCUGUUCUCUCUCGGCGAGCACAUAUCACAAUCAGAAUAAACAAAAAGAACCAACACACAAAAAUUGCAAUACAAGACAAAGAUUAACAAGUAUUUCUCAUCACUACAGUUCAGAAUUGCGAAAAUGAAUGUUAAAUUUACCAAUCCGAAUGUUAUUGGAUGAAUAAAUUCCAGGUUGAACAGAGCUGCUUUGAAGGUUUGGUGUGAUUCUGUUUUGUUGUGAUUUAGUGAUGUGUUAUUGGUGAUGAGCUGCUAAUUUAUGGAGAAUGGAUCUGCAAAUGAAGUGAUUUGAUGAAGGUUGUUAGUUUGGUGAUUUGUGUGUGGUGAAAGGUUGGAGGGUCUGGUUGAAGAUGGAUGAAGUCGAUGGCUGAAGGUGGGUUAGGUUGAUUGGAAGAAGAACUCAGGAAUUUCAGCAGAGUUUCUAUAUUAUCUUCCUCCUCUCUACUGUGCCUUUUUUCUCCCCGUUUUUACUUGUGUUGAGUCUGUUUUUAUAGCUGGGAUUAGGGUUUGAAUCUGAAUUUUAAGAUGAAAAUUGGGGGGAAAUGGUUGUGAAGAUUUGAACUGUUUUGGUAACUGAUCUAGUACUUUCUUGCUGCAGGAUUUGUUAUGAACAAAUUGGUGAUUGUUUUGGAGUGUAUUGGACAGCAGCAUAGCAGGUUUAUUGGACCGUUGUUAUUGGAAUUUUUGGUGAACAUAGAAGUGCAGGCAGUAGCAGGGUUUGCAGAACCAUGAAAGACAAAAUUGUUAUUAUUUUUUUUUGAUAAAAAAGAUUCCGACGAGUAGUGAGCUUGUCCGAGGAUAUAGUCGAGGAGCUUUUUGUUUAUCUUUUGUUAGGUAUUGAGUCAAUGCUCUGGUCAUGUAACACGAGGGUAUUUGAACUCAUGUUAUUGGAUGUUUGGAUUAUUGUUAUAUUUAUUGUAUUUAACAUGAUAUUGUGGAUGUAUUAUGUUGAUGGUUAUGCUGCCUAUUGUUGGAUUCAUAUGACAUUUAAUGGUAUGAUA